CCCCCCCUCUCUCUCUCGGAAAGUUGAAGUCCCAUUACUUUACCUAUGCAUUGAUUCAUUUCCUGCAGAGAAAUGAGGGCUACAGCUCGGCGACCGGCUUCGAAUUGGUUCCCUCCUUCGACCUCCUCCACUUCUAGAGAUCCUUACACUCACCACCUUUUGCUAUGAUGGCUGUGGAAAAUAUUUCAGGCUCUCAUCCUGCAGAAGUACAGAAUUUGGGUAUAUUUUCGCUCAAGUUAAAAAAGUUCAGAGCAGUGUGCAGAACAGGAGAAAAUUCGUUUUCAGAUAAGGGGGUGAAGCUAUUACUGCUUCCUGCUUUUGGAAAACUUGUAUUUUUGCACUGUGAUGCUUGAAUUUAUGUUAUCAUCUAUAUUUACACUGGACUCCUUUUAGGGGCCCUAUAUGUAUACACUGACAUAGCAAAGCUUAUAACUUGACAAAAUACCUGCUUCUGUGCACAUGCUGAUACACCUGUUACCGAUUAUGUUUCUUUAUACAUGAUAAAUAACUUUCUGUUCAUUGAAUUGCAUUGUACUUUCAAAAACCAAAACAUUCUAGAAUUCAUUAUGGUGAAUCUGAACAGGGGCCAGCGAUCACACCAUUCAAUUUUCCAUUGCAGGGUCCCCUAUUGCAACUGAUGGGUGCACUAUGUAUGGGCAAUAAACUGACUCUGAAAUUUGAUAGCAAAGGUAUGCAAGUAGAAUUUAUUUUAUUGGAAUGUAUCGAUUUCAUCCAUGGAAAUUUUGCCAGUUGUUUAUCAGGAAAUGACAAUCAGAUGCUUCGCAGACAGAAAGCUAAAUACUGCCUAUCAUUGUGUAAACUAAAGAAUAUCGAUAGCGGUUGCAGACAAGGAUAGCGUGCUGUAUGUAUAGGAUUUUGAGUUCAUGACCUAGAAAUGUGUUUUCUGAUAGAUCAAUUCGAAGUGUAAGAAGGAAAGGACGCUUGUGCACAUGUGUAAACCAUUUGGGUCUUUGUCCAAUCAUUUAUAUCCACUGAUAUUUGUAUUGGCUGUUUGAAGAUAUGCCUUCAUUUUUAUCUACUUCAUUGUUGUUC